UACGUAGGGGGCGAGCGUUGUCCGGAAUCAUUGGGCGUAAAGCGCUCGUAGGCGGUGUGUCGCGUCGGCCGUGAAAACCUGCAGCUUAACUGUGGGCUUGCGGUCGAUACGGGCAUCACUGGAGUUCGGCAGGGGAGACUGGAAUUCCUGGUGUAGCGGUGAAAUGCGCAGAUAUCAGGAGGAACACCGGUGGCGAAGGCGGGUCUCUGGGCCGAUACUGACGCUGAGGAGCGAAAGCGUGGGGAGCGAACAGG
rnacentral:rRNA from 1 species